GUAGAACUGUUUGGCCCUGAGACGCGAUCACGGCAUGGUCACACAGAGGGGAGAGCCUCGCCGCUUCCCAAAGCCAUUAGCAAUCCCUGCAUGAUCUUCAUUCACUGCGCCAAGGAGCAACCUUCAACUGCAAGGAAUGCAAGAGCAAAUGAGUAAAAGAAGGCGAAACGCGGCUUCUGCUCCUUGGAACCGAUUCAACGACAACCCCGCCCUUCAGUAUCAGUGAUCUGCUGGAGGAAACCUUUAAUACUCAAUUUCCUGUUGUGUAUCUUGAUUUACUCUUCCUCUCCGCCAUACGAAGUCUAGUAGGAACAUCCUUUCGCCCUCCAAGGUCACAGCUCACGUAAAGUGGAAAUGAAAAUACAUACAUCACGUACAGAAGGCGGGACGGCGAAUAAGAUGAA